UGUUUAAAUCUGCAGUUGUAGCUCUGUUUUUUUCUCCUGCUGAUUCCUCUGUUUGGCUUCAGGAUUGGGAUUAUUAGCUGCAUAAACAAUGAAAAACAUCUCAAGGCACUUAUGUAAACAUUAGAUCAGAACCACAAAAAAACCAAAAUAACAGAUCCCGUGUGUCUCUACUCCACAGCCCGUGAGGUUUUGUUUUGUGGAAAAAUGAUAAUUUGGUGCUUUACUUCUGACUAAUCGCUCGCCCUUUUCCCUGUGAGCAGCGUGGACUAAUUUUAUCUCCGACUCCAAAAACCAACUGCUUUGAUUUUUUUCAGGAUUCGUGGGAAGAGGUCCAGAUUGGCAGCGUGAGACUGCAGCGUGUAAUGUCAUGUGGACGAUGUGUUUUCACCACCGUCGACCCUGAAACUGGUAUAAUCAGCAGAAAAGAGCCUCUGGACACACUGAAGAGUUAUCGUCAAUGCAAACCGUCCGAGAAGCACAUCUACAAGUCGUCCCCGUUGUUUGGACAGCUGCACAAGGUGAAGAAGACGGGGACCCUGCAGGUCGGCGAUGUGGUUUAUCAGAUCAGCCGCUGAUGGUGGGAGUCAGAGAGAGAAAAACUCUUUAAAAUCUUUAAAAAAAUCUUAAUUGUUGGCAUAAUCACUGAGCACAUACACAGUAGAAAAAACACUAAAAUAUGUUUAUUCAUCUCAAAGUUCACUAAUAUGUAACAAAAUCACUGUUUUUCAAACAGCUUUGAUUCACGGAGAGACAAAUCAGCUGAGGUUACAUGAAAUAUAACAAUUUUUAGAGCAAUUGAUUAUUUAUAUUAAUUGUCUGUCAGUUGUUUUGUAACACUAAUCGUGCUAUUUGAACAAAUUACUAACAACUACACAUUAAUUUAACCAUUAACUAAAUCCUGAAAUACACGCUGCUAUUAAAGAGAGAAGUUAAACAGGUUAAAGACUUUUUAAUAGAGUACGCUGUAUGUGUAAGCUUUCAUGGAAUAAACAAAAAGUAGCAGAA